GACGAACGCUGGCGGCGUGCUUAACACAUGCAAGUCGAACGGAAAGGCCCUGCUUUUGUGGGGUGCUCGAGUGGCGAACGGGUGAGUAACACGUGAGUAACCUGCCCUUGACUUUGGGAUAACUUCAGGAAACUGGGGCUAAUACCGGAUAGGAGCUCCUGCUGCAUGGUGGGGGUUGGAAAGUUUCGGCGGUUGGGGAUGGACUCGCGGCUUAUCAGCUUGUUGGUGGGGUAGUGGCUUACCAAGGCUUUGACGGGUAGCCGGCCUGAGAGGGUGACCGGCCCAAUGGGGACGGAGGAACGGCCCAAGCCCCUACGGGGGGCAGCGGGGGGGAAUAUUGAAAAAGGGGGGGAAGCCUGAGGCAGAAACGCCGGGGGCGGGAUGACGGCCUUCGGGUGGUAAACCGCUUUCGCCUGGGACGAAGGGGGAGUGCCGGUAAUGGGGAAAGAAGCACCGGCUAACUACGU
rnacentral:rRNA from 1 species